ACUUUUUCAGUAUAAAUUUGUACAGCUGCCUUCCAAGCAGUAAGUUUGGAAUCCAAAGAAAGUA
rnacentral:tRNA from 1 species